rnacentral:rRNA from 1 species
GUGCCAGGACUGCGGUUGACCGUACCGUAAUCCGACACAGGUAGGCGAGGCGAGCAGCCUAAGGUGCUCGAGUGAUUUACGGAAAAGGAACUCGGCAAAAUGACCCCGUAACUUCGGGAUAAGGGGUGCCGGCAGUAGCUGACCUAAUCAAGGGAAGGCGAGACCGGCCGCAGAGAAUCGUCCCAAGCGACUGUUUAGCAAAAACACAGGAGCGUGCUAAGGCAUUGUCCAAGCCAACGUAUACGCUCUGACUCCUGCCCGGUGCCGGAAGGUUAAGGCAAGUCGUCAGCCGCAAGGCGAAGCGAUGAACCGAAGCCCCGGUAAACGGCGGCCGUAACGAUAACGGUCCUAAGGUAGCGAAAUUCCUUGUCGGGUAAGUUCCGACCUGCACGAAUGGAGUAACGACUUGGGAGCUGUCUCUUCCGUAAGCUCGGCGAAAUAGAAGCAUCGGUGAGGAUUCCGAUUACCCGCGACAGGACAAAAAGACCCCAUGCACCUUUACUACAACCUGUCAUUGAUUGUCGGUAUGCGUUGCGUAGCAUAGGUGGGAGCCGGUGAAACCGGGGUUUCGGCCCUGGUGGAGGCACCAGUGAAAUACCACCCUUCGUUUACUAACAAUCUCACUCAGCCGGCAACACCGGCGAGGACCGUGGCAGGCGGGUAGUUUGACUGGGGCGGUCGCCUCCUAAAAAGUACCGGAGGCGCACAAUGGUUGGCUCAGUGCGGUCGGUAAUCGCACGUCGAGUGUAUACGCAGAAGCCAGCCUGACUGCGAGCGCGACAGCGCGAGCAGGGACGAAAGUCGGUGUAAGUGAUCCGGCGGGACCGUGUGGACGGCCCGUCGCUCAUCGGAUAAAAGGUACGCUGGGGAUAACAGGCUUACCGCGCCCGAGAGUUCACAUCGACGGCGCGGUUUGGCACCUCGAUGUCGGCUUGUCACAUCCUGGGGCUGGAGAAGGUCCCAAGGGUCCGGCUGUUCGCCGGUUAAAGUGGCACAUGAGCUGGGUUCAGGACGUCGUGAGACAGUUCGGUCUGUAUCCGUCGUGGGCGUGGGAAUGUUGAGGGACGUCGACCUUAGUACGAGAGGACCGGGUCGAAGCGACCGCUCGUGUACGGGCUAUCCUGCCAAGGGUAUCGCCCGGUAGCGAUGUCGCGCGCAGAUAACCGCUGAAAGCAUCUAAGUGGGAAACUGUUCCCAAGAUGAACAUUCCUGGGUCUUAAGACCCCUGAAGGGCCGUGGGAGACUACCACGUUGAUAGGCGGCAGAUGUAAGGCGUGCAAGCGCUUCAGUCGAGCCGUACUAAUCGCCCGUGCAGUUUGAUCUC